UACGAAGGGGGCUAGCGUUGUUCGGAAUUACUGGGCGUAAAGCGCGCGUAGGCGGUUUUGCAAGCCAGAGGUGAAAUGCCUGAGCUCAACUCAGGAAUGGCCUUUGGGACUGCGAGGCUUUGAGGACUGGAGAGGUGAGUGGAAUUCCGGGUGGAGUGGUGAAAUGCGUAGAGAUCCGGAGGAACACCAGAGGCGAAGGCGGCGCACCGGGCUGCACCUGACGCUGAUCCGCGAAAGCCAGGGGAGCGAACGGG
rnacentral:rRNA from 1 species